rnacentral:rRNA from 1 species
UACGUAGGGUGCGAGCGUUAAUCGGAAUUACUGGGCGUAAAGCGUGCGCAGGCGGUUUGCCAAGUCAGGUGUGAAAUCCCCGGGCUUAACCUGGGAAUUGCGCUUGAAACUAGCAGGCUUGAGUGUGGCAGAGGGGGGUGGAAUUCCACGUGUAGCAGUGAAAUGCGUAGAGAUGUGGAGGAACACCGAUGGCGAAGGCAGCCCCCUGGGUCAACACUGACGCUCAUGCACGAAAGCGUGGGGAGCAAACAGG